rnacentral:rRNA from 1 species
AGUGAAGCGGCAACAGCUCAAAUUUGAAAUCUGGCCCCUCCGGGUCCGAGUUGUAAUUUGUAGAGGAUGCUUUUGGUGAGGUGCCGCCCGAGUUCCCUGGAACGGGACGCCGCAUAGGGUGAGAGCCCCGUCUGGCUGGCCACCGAGCCUCUGUAAAGCUCCUUCGACGAGUCGAGUAGUUUGGGAAUGCUGCUCAAAAUGGGAGGUAUAUGUCUUCUAAAGCUAAAUAUUGGCCAGAGACCGAUAGCGCACAAGUAGAGUGAUCGAAAGAUGAAAAGCACCUUGAAAAGAGGGUUAAACAGUACGUGAAAUUGUUGAAAGGGAAGCGCUUGUGACCAGACUUGGGCGCGGCGGAUCAUCCGGGGUUCUCCCCGGUGCACUUCGCCGCGUCCAGGCCAGCAUCAGUUCGUCGCGGGGGAAAAAGGCUUCGGGAACGUGGCUCCUCCGGGAGUGUUAUAGCCCGUUGCAUAAUACCCUGCGGUGGACUGAGGACCGCGCAUCUGCAAGGAUGCUGGCGUAAUGGUCACCAGCGACCCGUCUUGAAACACGGACCAAGGAGUCGUCUUCGUAUGCGAGUGUUCGGGUGUCAUACCCCUACGCGUAAUGAAAGUGAACGCAGGUGAGAGCUUCGGCGCAUCAUCGACCGAUCCUGAUGUUCUCGGAUGGAUU